rnacentral:rRNA from 1 species
GAUCAUGGCUCAGAUUGAACGCUGGCGGAAUGCUUACACAUGCAAGUCGAACGGCAGCACGGGGGCAACCCUGGUGGCGAGUGGCGAACGGGUGAGUAAUACAUCGGAACGUGCCCAGUCGUGGGGGAUAACGUAGCGAAAGCUACGCUAAUACCGCAUACGAUCUACGGAUGAAAGCCGGGGACCUUCGGGCCUGGCGCGAUUGGAUGAGCCCAUGUCGGAUUAGCUAGUUGGCGGGGUAAUGGCCCACCAAGGCGACGAUCCGUAGCUGGUCUGAGAGGAUGAUCAGCCACACUGGAACUGAGACACGGUCCAGACUCCUACGGGAGGCAGCAGUAGGGAAUAUUGGACAAUGGGCGCAAGCCUGAUCCAGCCAUGCCGCGUGAGUGAAGAAGGCCCUCGGGUUGUAAAGCUCUUUUGUCCGGAAAGAAAAGCGCCGGGUUAAUACCCUGGUGUCCUGACGGUACCGGAAGAAUAAGCACCGGCUAACUUCGUG